GAUGAACGCUGGCGGCGUGCCUAAUACAUGCAAGUCGAGCGAACAGACGAGGAGCUUGCUCCUCUGACGUUAGCGGCGGACGGGUGAGUAACACGUGGAUAACCUACCUAUAAGACUGGGAUAACGUCGGGAAACCGGAGCUAAUACCGGAUAAUAUAUUGAACCGCAUGGUUCAAUAGUGAAAGACGGUUUUGCUGUCACUUAUAGAUGGAUCCGCGCCGCAUUAGCUAGUUGGUAAGGUAACGGCUUACCAAGGCAACGAUGCGUAGCCGACCUGAGAGGGUGAUCGGCCACACUGGAACUGAGACACGGUCCAGACUCCUACGGGAGGCAGCAGUAGGGAAUCUUGCGCAAUGGGCGAAAGCCUGACGGAGCAACGCCGCGUGAGUGAUGAAGGUCUUCGGAUCGUAAAACUCUGUUAUUAGGGAAGAACAAAUGUGUAAGUAACUAUGCACGUCUUGACGGUACCUAAUCAGAAAGCCACGGCUAACUACGUG
rnacentral:rRNA from 1 species